rnacentral:sRNA from 1 species
ACUCCAAACUCCUCAUCCGACUUUUCUAUUACUUUAAGAAAAUCAAUUUACCAUCCUACAGCUCCCUAUGACCCCAAGAACAAUCGCUUAACAUUUUGUGAACCGCAUGCCAGGAAUAUUUUAUAUAGCAAAGGAGUGUCUGUUGAAUCCUUUUUACCCUCCGCCAAAUCAAUUCCACAAAUCAACAUAAUCAACUUCUCGCAAAUAAAAUGGGUUUGGAGCAGCGCAGAAUAAGAGAGCAAGCUGAAAUAAGUGCCGUAAAAAAUGUAAAAACUUUUUUAUAGUGGCUGCAUAAAAAAUGUAAAAUAAAAACCCAACCGAAGAAAUCUACGAAAGAAUGCAUAACAAAAGAAAAUCACCUUCGUGGGCGUGCAGGUAUACGUAUAAAAGUGAAGUGCGGCGGGGCAUGUGCAACACACGAACAACGAAAAAGACGGCAGGAAAAAAUUACAAGGAAGCAGCACCCAGAAGAGCGAGUUUCAAGACAAGAGUGAUGAAAGGAUACCCUAUUUUCGAGGGUAAUAAUUAUGAAGGAAUGCUAACUCUUGAUUAUCCUUAUAGAUACAGUUUAAUUAGUUUUAAAUGAUCCAAAGGCCGCACGUAAAUUGACAAAAACAAGUCUUAGAUUUAGCAAA